rnacentral:misc_RNA from 1 species
CAGGGAACAUGGGUUGCAGGAGAGAUUACUUAUUCAGAGUAAGAAAAUUAUCCUGGGAGGAUUGCUAGUUAAGAUUUAGUAAAAUUGCCUUCUUUAAGAAAAAAAAUGAAGAAAGGGGACGUUUAGAAGCUAUUGGUAAGGACAUUGUAAAGAAGUGUAAUAGUCUGCAAAAAUAUUUUAGCAACUCUUUUGCGCUUGAAACAAUCACUGAAAGGGUGGCAGAGUGUCUUGAUUAGUGAGGUGCGGGAACUAAAAGUGGUAUAGGAAAAAGG